GUGCCGCGCGAGAACUCCGGCUGUGACCUGUGUACACUUUAUCCAAAUCACAUCACAGUCUGAGUUCUUGCUUGGAGG
rnacentral:pre_miRNA from 11 species